ensembl:lncRNA
GGGGAACUAGGUUUUAGCAAUUGAAAAACAUAAAUGACUUUAAUUAUACAGAAAGAACGAGGAUUGUUUUCCUAGAAUGCAUCGGAAUGAGUAGAAACAGUAAUUGAGCAAAUGAAUUCCGAUAGAGGCAUAAUUGAUACUUGAAAACUCAAAUAAUAAUCUACAUUACUUCAACUGCGAUAACUUACAGGAGGGAAUUCUUAACAAUGCUUUCUAACAGUCAAUCUUGGUCAGGUUCUCAUCCUUCCAAAUAAAUCUCUUUGGAGUUAAAGCUAUAUUUUGGAAAUUAAUGACUUCUUCCAUGUGAGGCUAUCCUCAGAAGCCGACCAAAUUCUGAUAAAUCUAUAAAGCAAACUACGUUCUUUUCACUGGGAUCUGGAAGAGGAUGACAUUUAUGUAAUGGAUGAGUUUUGUGCCGUCCCCAGGAAAAUAAUCUCGUAUUUUACUAAGCUAUAGUCUGCAGAAAAAUUGCUGCUUUCGUACGCUUAAUAAAGACUCACUGAAACAUCGCACAGAAAUCCCUGAGGAUCAUCUCUGCAGUGAGCCCUGCUGGAAGUCUGAGGAGGGAAUGGUGAUGUGCCUGGGCAGCAGAAGAGCAGCACCAAGCCCUGCUCCUCCAGCUGAUGUCCUGAAGGCAAAUGGACAGGGAAGGAGGGGUUGAGACCCUUCAAGAAGGAUGUGAGAGGGAUUUAGUGAAGUGACUGUGUGGGACCAGUGGGAACUGGGAAGAGCCUUUGGAGAUCCCUGGUGAGGGCUGGGUUUGGCUGACAGUUCAGGCAGCCAUGAAUUCAUGGUGAUGGAGGAGCCUUUGCUUUCCAAGGAUUAUCGCUGUCUGCCUUAAAGCCUUCAAGUCCUGGCCCAGAGAGCCCCAGGGUGGGAGAUGCUGCACAGCACAAGCCAAAAGGUCUGCAUUUACCCCUGAAAUAUUUGCCAUCAAAGCACAGUGAACACAUUGGGCUGGCAGGAGGAUGUGAUUCGUGCCAGGAUGGGAAGUCUGGAGCUGAGAAAAGCCCAAAACCUUUACUGAGAGGAUGUCUGGUGAGCACUUGUCUCACAAUGGCCAACUGCACUGCUCUUCCUGCUGAUUUCAGUCACAGAGACAUGGACACAUCUAUGGGACAGAGCUGGGGUUACUGCACCAACAGCACUUAGAGGACAUUGGGGCUGCUGCAGAUCUCAUGCAGACACCAUAAUUGUGAACAUCUUAAGCAAAGCUCCGAGCACCAAAAGCAUGGGCAGAUUCUGGCUGUGCUGGAAGAUGGCACAACCAGAAAUCCCUUUUAGAGGGGAGAAGCUGGGAGGACAUCCUCCCAAAGGAGAUUCCUGAGACUGUGGUGCAGGUGCAGGAUGCUCUGAUCCCUUGGUUUACUGCAGGA